rnacentral:lncRNA from 1 species
CUCUAUUAGACACAGAGGUCAUACUAGUAAAAGGGUUUUACAAGAUCAGAUGACAUUAAAUUAUUAGACUAUAUCUUAAGGGAAAGGACAUCUGUAAACCUAAAUGUUAAUUGUUGUGUUUACAUCCCUGACAUUUCUGGCAAGGUGACAAAUAUCCUUAAAGAUUUACAUGCUCAGAUAGAAGCCAUGUCCUCAGCAACUUUGUUGUGGAAACAGUAUCUUAGCUCCUGGUUCUUGGUACUUCCUGGUGGAAAACAUUGUUAGUCUCUGUCUUGGCCAUUAUACUCAUUGGCAUAUUCCUGUGCUGUGACAUUUAUUGCUGCAUCAGUCUGGUUCCAGUACUAAUGAAUUCUUGUUUCUCUUAUAGACCACCUAUCCCUCGAAUGGCCCUCCAGCCUAAUACUUCUCAAUUGGACUUUUAUCGUGGACCACUCGAUAGACCCGAUAUUUUUAAAGGGGGACUCCAAACUGCUUGCCCCACACCAACCCUUUUCAGCCUGAAGGAGCCAGAAAGAUCCUCUUCGCCCCCCUUCCUCACAGCAGUGAGGAGUUCCCAAAUUAGAGGGGGGAAUGAAGCCAGAUUUAAAGUUAGGUAGUCAGUGUAGUUAGACAAAUCGGGGUCUAAUACCAAGUGAAAUCUAAAAUGGAGGCCAUGCUGAAAAUGAUUCCAGGGAAUACAAAACAACUCAUGAAAUGUAUAACCCUUCAAUAAUCUUGAUGCAUUACAUUUAAGAUUAAAAGUUGUCAGAAAAAAGGAGUGGGGAAUGUAAGGGUAAAAGAAAUUGAAGUUAAAGGGUAAAAGACCGGGCAUUGUAAAGUUUCUAAGCUGCAAGACCUGAGUUAAAAUGUAAAGGAUUAGGUAUUGUUAGGUUUCUGUGCUACCUGCAAAACCUGAAAUUCCUGUAGCUGUUGAGAUAAUGCUUGGAACCACCCAGUAAAUAUUUCCCCUGACUUCUUGGUUGUUUAAUAACUGAAGGGCUCUGUGUGGUCUCGCACGUAGGCAUCGCAGGGCCUAAACCAAUCAGUUUGUGUACCCCACUUUAGAACUGACCUAUCACCCCCGCCUGACCUGUUCCCGCCAAUGAAUGAACUAAUCAUGUUUAGGAAUUGUUUGAUUUUCCCACGGUGUAUGAUGAUUUGUUAAAGGAGACUGUGAUGUAUGCAAAAUCCCUGCCCUCCCCAAAAAAGUGUACUUAAGCAGUGCUCAGCCCCUGCUUGGGGCUCUGGGCUGUUCUCCCUUCUUGAGUGGGCAUGGAGCCCUAGCAUGCUAGAUCAAUAAAUCCCCUUCUGCCAAUUGCAUGAGUGGUCACUUGGUGGUCUCUUUCUUCGAC